AGCAUGGACUUAAUCUUUCCAGGUGCAUUCUUGCCAUUCAGCCAGGUGCAUUCUUCCAUUACCAUUCUUGUUGUUCAGCAAAGCACUGAAGAAGGUAUAUAAGUAUAUUCAUGGUAGACACUGAACACAUUUUCCUCCUGCUAUUACUUUAAGAAUUUGCCCACACAGGGAUGAAGAACAUCUGGUUAGGAGUAUAAUCAGAAUAAGCUAGAUAAGUAGCAUUCUUGUACACCUCUUCAUCCUCUAAGUCAUCCUCUGUGCAGGAUUACAUACAUAAGAUAAGCAUUAGGGCUUUAAUGAUAAACAAACUGCUUCUUCGUCUAAUGGUACAUCACUCGACUCUCCAUGAUGAGGACGGUCUUCAGUGUGGUUUUUCUCAGCUCGCUUUUUGUAAUCAAAAGUGAAGCACUGCAAUGUUAUACUUGUGUAGGGUCAAGUGAAGAAGAGUGUAACAGACAAGGAACUCAGCGAUGUCCGGGACAAUCGGAUGCGUGUUCCCUCAUCAGAGGGCAAGGAAACGGUGUUAUGAAGUCCUGUUCAUUCAAAUCAUUCUGUGACCAGGCAAGGAGGGAAGGAUCCAAAGUACCAGGGAUGAGUGUUCAUUGCUGUUAUUCAGACAACUGCAAUGCAAAAAGCCUGGGUUCAAGAAGCACCAUCUCUGCAAGCUACUUACCUCUCUUGGUCUCUGCAAUGCUGUGGCACCUGCUAUUUAACUUGAAGUGAAAUGAAAAAUUAGUACCCCAAAGCUACAAGACUGCCUUUUUAGAAUAAAAUGAUAAAGAAAUUCUAAAAAUGUUACUUGCAUAUAACACAUCAAUCAGCAGAAGUUGAAGAGAGCUGAGAAAGAAGUGGGUAUGUCUGGCACAAAAAACUGAAGGUUGAAAGGGAAUUUACAGUCUCGGAUAAAAUUCAGUGGUUUUAUUGGGGUGGAAUGGUUUUCUGCCAUCUGAGAGAAGCUGCCAGACUUCUUGCAUCCUCAUGCAACUUCUGGUGGUUCCAUGUGGCUUCUGCUGGAUCCACAGAACUCUGAUAAUCACCUUUUCCAGUGGCCCACACCUACUCUGGGAUGGAGGGGAUUGGCAGAAACCUUCUUUCAAUGGGAGAGGCAAUGUUACUUUGCCUAUAGAAAGAAGAGGUUCUGCUGCCGAAGAGCAGUUUUGAAUGUAGCAAAUGCAUCAUUUUGCUGGCCAGGGUACCUAGUAUAGACCAAGUCAUUGUGACUUAUACGUGGAUUAUGCUCACUUGGCCCCUACACACACUAAAAAACUAGUAGUGAUUGUAUUUAAUAUUCCGAUGGAACUUCCAUAUUGUUGCAAAAUAUUGAUCUUUGAAAAAAAAGAAAACUUGGCUAGUAGCAGCCUUAUAAUCUGGAAACAGAUAAAUAAUUUCCAGAUUUUUUUCUUAGUGAUGGUAUAAGUAGACUCAGAAACAAGCUAAAAUAUUCAAACAGAAAUUAUAGAAAAUUCCAAUAAACCAUGAUUUAGUCUAACAGGCCUUCAGAGAGUACUCACAAUCCUGCCAGAAGUGGAAAAUGUGAAGUGAGGAGAGAUUAUAAUUAAUAUUAAUUGUUCAAGACAAGGUCUUGGGGGAAAAAUGUAUGGAAAAACACUGUGAUAGAUAUUUUUGCAGAUCUGUUUCCAUUCUGCUGUUGACCAAUAGUGUGAGAACCUUGCAAAAAAAGAUUCAACUGCAAAAUAGUUUUCAACCAGUAGGCUUCCUUCCAAAAGAUCAGCUUGCUUUCUCUCUCUGCAACACAUUUGAAGGAUAAGAGAGUUAAUCCCUGUGUUGUAGACAUAAUUGCCAGUUGAAUAUUGACAUUUGGCCUAGCUAAAUUCCCUCUGCUGUCUCAACCAGAUAUAAUAGUCUUUCUUUUCUGUCCUAAAUUAUAUGUUUUGGUAAUGGGUCAAGUAAACCUGUAUGUAUAUGUGGUUGUUUUUUGCAGUGGUCUUCAAUAGGAGCAGGAACUAGUCUUUAAUAACGUACACGUUAGUUUAAAGUUGUACAGUAAAGGAAAAAGCACGCUGGUAUCUUUCAAGAUGAAAGGCGCUAUAUAGAUAUUGGGUAUUACUAUUGUUCAUUACAAGCAACCAAGAAUGGGGUGUGAGGGGGAGUCUCAUUGUUCUGGGCACUCAAUAAACACCGAGUAUUAGGCAAUCUGUACCCUAAAGAUUUAAUGGCCUGAAUAGACAGAUUAACACAGGGUGAGAGAAAGGAGAGGGAACAGUGGCGUGUUACUUUCACUUUUGUUGGUGGAAGGGUAAGUUUAAUUAGAAAGUGAUAUGCUAACUAGGAAAAAAGAGAAGAGGGGCUUGGAGCAAACAGCUAAUCAGCACCAGAAAGACAAAGUGCUUGCAAAACGACAAAAGGUGCCUAAAUGGUUGAUGUGGCUGUUGUUGCAACUGCUUCUACCAGUUGGUAUCUCUGGCUAGUUCCUCUCUGAAGCAGUAAUAGCCCAGCAUCUCAGAAAUUAUAUCCAUCAGUCAUGUAUUUCUGCAAUAUUGUAUUUCUACAAUAUGGUCCACAAUUAGUACUAAUAUUUUCAUAGUACAGUUAACCCAAGUGUUACCUUUCGUAGAGCCCAGGAAGAGACGAAUAGCUUUUCAAUCUUGCUUCCAUUGAAGCUAAUGGGAAUUUUGCCACUAAUUCAACUGGAAACAUGAUUAGGUUCCAAAAAUAUUUCUGAUUAUAUUAAUUAUCACCCAUCACACCAAUACUUUCAAAUUUGGGGUCCUAAGAAUAAUUUUAGAUGUUUGACUGUCCACAACUCCUGUAGAUUAUUUGUACGGAAGUAGCAUAUAAGCAUCAUGUCUUAUUAUUAGUCUACUUAGGUAGGGACUUAAUUUUCAUAGAUGCUAAUGACCCAAAGAGACUGAUUAUCUAAACUGACCCUUCUAUAUAAUGCAGGUUACAGGGCUUAAUUUCGGCUUGGAGUCCAAUAGGUGUACUUGAACUGAAGGGACAUGUCUAGACAAGCGCACGCAUAUGGCUUGCAGUGCUGCAGACCCAUUGGUGGCACCGCAAACCAUAUGCACCUCACAUGCAGGUGUUAGCUACAUUGCUAAUUUAGAGUGAAGUGGGGUUUUUUGGCACUGGGAAAUCACAGUGUUAAAAAAAUCUGUGCCAGAAAAAAG